GAUGAACGCUGGCGGCGUGCUUAACACAUGCAAGUCGAACGGAAAGGCCACAGCUUGCUGUGGUACUCGAGUGGCGAACGGGUGAGUAACACGUGGGUGAUCUGCCCUGUACUUCGGGAUAAGCUUGGGAAACUGGGUCUAAUACCGGAUAGGAAUCACAUGUGGGUGUGUGGUUGGAAAGCUUUUGCGGUAUGGGAUGAGCUCGCGGCCUAUCAGCUUGUUGGUGGGGUAUUGGCGUACCAAGGCGUCGACGGGUAGCCGGCCUGAGAGGGUGUACGGCCACAUUGGGACUGAGAUACGGCCCAGACUCCUACGGGAGGCAGCAGUGGGGAAUAUUGCACAAUGGGCGCAAGCCUGAUGCAGCGACGCCGCGUGGGGGAUGACGGCCUUCGGGUUGUAAACUCCUUUCGUCAGGGACGAAGCGAAAGUGACGGUAACUGGAUAAGAAGCACCGGCUAACUACGUG
rnacentral:rRNA from 1 species